UCUGUUGAGUGGGGGGACAGU
rnacentral:piRNA from 1 species